CCCUGACUCUGGGAUAAGCGUUGGAAACGACGUCUAAUACUGGAUACGACUGCCGGCCGCAUGGUCUGGUGGUGGAAAGAUUUUUUGGUUGGGGAUGGACUCGCGGCCUAUCAGCUUGUUGGUGAGGUAAUGGCUCACCAAGGCGACGACGGGUAGCCGGCCUGAGAGGGUGACCGGCCACACUGGGACUGAGACACGGCCCAGACUCCUACGGGAGGCAGCAGUGGGGAAUAUUGCACAAUGGGCGAAAGCCUGAUGCAGCAACGCCGCGUGAGGGAUGACGGCCUUCGGGUUGUAAACCUCUUUUAGUAGGGAAGAAGCGAAAGUGACGGUACCUGCAAAAAAAGCACCGGCUAACUACGUGCCAGCAGCCGCGGUAAUACGUAGGGUGCAAGCGUUGUCCGGAAUUAUUGGGCGUAAAGAGCUCGUAGGCGGUUUGUCGCGUCUGCUGUGAAAUCCCGAGGCUCAACCUCGGGCUUGCAGUGGGUACGGGCAGACUAGAGUGCGGUAGGGGAGAUUGGAAUUCCUGGUGUAGCGGUGGAAUGCGCAAAUAUCAGGAGGAACACCGAUGGCGAAGGCAGAUCUCUGGGCCGUAACUGACGCUGAGGAGCGAAAGCGUGGGGAGCGAACAGGAUUAAAUACCCUGGUAGUCCACGCCGUA
rnacentral:rRNA from 1 species